rnacentral:rRNA from 1 species
UACGAAGGGGGCUAGCGUUGCUCGGAAUUACUGGGCGUAAAGGGCGCGUAGGCGGACAGUUUAGUCAGAGGUGAAAGCCCAGGGCUCAACCCUGGAAUUGCCUUUGAUACUGACUGUCCUGAGUACGGGAGAGGUGUGUGGAACUCCGAGUGUAGAGGUGAAAUUCGUAGAUAUUCGGAAGAACACCAGUGGCGAAGGCGACAUACUGGUCCGUUACUGACGCUGAGGCUCGAAAGCGUGGGGAGCAAACAGG